rnacentral:rRNA from 1 species
UGGGGAAUUGUUCGCAAUGGGCGCAAGCCUGACGACGCAACGCCGCGUGGAGGAUGAAGAAUUUCGGUUCGUAAACUCCUUUCGACCGAGAUGAACACCUCGCGAUCUAAUACAUCGCGGGGCUGACAGUAUCGAGAGAAGAAGCCCCGGCUAACUCUGUGCCAGCAGCCGCGGUAAUACAGGGGGGGCAAGCGUUGUUCGGAAUUACUGGGCGUAAAGGGUUCGUAGGUGGCCGACUAAGUCAGACGUGAAAUCCCUCAGCUUAACUGGGGAACUGCGUCUGAUACUGGUUGGCUUGAGUGCAGGAGAGGAACGCGGAAUUCCAGGUGUAGCGGUGAAAUGCGUAGAUAUCUGGAGGAACACCGGUGGCGAAGGCGGCGUUCUGGACUGUAACUGACAC